rnacentral:rRNA from 1 species
UACGUAGGGUGCGAGCGUUGUCCGGAAUUAUUGGGCGUAAAGAGCUCGUAGGCGGUGUGUCGCGUCGAUCGUGAAAACUUUCAGCUUAACUGGGAGCUUGCGGUCGAUACGGGCAUCACUUGAGUUCGGCAGGGGAGACUGGAAUUCCUGGUGUAGCGGUGAAAUGCGCAGGAUAUCAGGAGGAACACCGGUGGCGAAGGCGGGUCUCUGGGGCCGAUACUGACGCUGAGGAGCGAAAGCGUGGGGAGCGAACAGG